CUAUAGGGCCGCGUCAUCAUGCCCAUUUGCAGGGGGCGAAACUGACUCUCCGAAAGGAAGUUCCAGCCGACAGUCCAGAGCUCCGGAUUCAGCACUGGGGAAGGAAUCAAAGACUCUCUUCUGGGCUGCCGAGCCACCAUGUCGGGCCCCAUGCAAGAUGGAGGGGCAGAAGGGAGGAAGGACAGGAUGGUCACGAGGACGGAG